CUCGUAGCCGUCUGGAUUGGCCAGUGGCAGAAUCAGCCAGUCCGUUGUGUCGAGAAGUUUCGCAUACGUCGAGUUCUUCUCCACCAACUGGCUCAGGAUUUUUACCUCGUAGAUGUACGAAAAAAAGGCGCCGAAAAAUUUGAAGAAUUCGAUAGAAAACUGGAGUGGAUUCAAGUGGUCUUUUCAAAUAACAAAUUUAUGUUUAUAUUAAUUUUUAUGAAUUUAUGGUGGUCGGAAAACUAAUUGCCAUUUCAACAGAGAUGCAAUAAAGUUGGUUAUGGAAUUGGCCAGGUUGUUGAGCAGAUUUUAUUGUAUGUGUGGGUUCGAGGUUUCAAAUUGUCAAGUCAUACGUGACUCGGCACAACCACUUGUUCAUGCCGGAUGAGGCGUUAUGGGCAAUUUCGAGGAUUUUUAUCAUUAUGGGAAUGGACUAGUUACCUGCAUCGAUCCACACUGUUGGUUUGACAGCCCCCGAUUUACCGCGUCCUGUCGAGACUUUUACUACUUUCAGGGGCUGACCCUCGAAACUGUGGCCAAUUGUUUCGAGUUCCACGAGCGUUGGGUAUGUGAAUGCCAGGUAUUCCAAGUAUUUCAUUAUUUCUAGGUCAAGGAGAAUUCAAGAAUUAGUUUUGUCCAUUGGAAAUUGGGAUUUCAUUACACAAACGAUUAGUUAUGUGAUUCGACAAUAUGUAUUUUUUCCGUCUUACCCCCAAAUCGAUGAUAUCGUUUCCAGGUCAUGGAAUGUCCCUGCACUGUAACAAGAUCAUCUCGCUGCUCCUUCGACAUCUUGGGAUUCUGGUAGGCAAUGGUCUUCUGCAGAUCCGGAAUGAGAAUCUUGAAGUCAAUCUUCUUGUCCCUCAGGUAAUCCCUGACAUCGUCAACGAUAUCAGGCGACACAACGAUGUCCGUUGAUUUGUUUUCAGAUGGUUGUGUCCAGAACUUGAUCUCCUCGGCUUCAGAAUCUCUCAUCUCCCGCAAUUCCUCGACCUGUCGGUCAGUGGUCGGAUGAAUUCGCAGCAACUGGUGACCCUUAUAACUCACUCUGCUCAUUGAAACCUUUCCGGUCUUUGACUCUGCUCCUAUGACGUUGUUCACGAGGGAACUGAAACCGUCGGAGACUACGUCGAUAACGGUGUCGAAGAGAUUCGACAGAGAGAAUCCCCGAGGGCGAGCGCAGAUCGAAGACCAGGGAAGCUGCCUCCUUUGGAAUGACGACUUGUCCAUUCGUUUCGGGUUGUAUCCAUUGGAUGGUAUUGAUUUGAUAUUGAUUGAGCUGGGGAGAAAUUGUUUGAGUUACAUAAGCUGUUUUAGGAAGGAUAAACCAAAGCACUAUUUUUAACAGGAUAUUUAGAAUACUUUGUUAAUUAUCCGAUAGGUGAUUCUAAGAAAUUUUGGCAUUGUGGAUAUCUAUGAAAUUUACAGAUAUUUUAACUUUAAGUAUUAAAUUUUAGUUCAACUAUUCCAUGAAUAUUUUUGGCUGAGUAAUCUUGUCGCGUGUCGCGUCAAUUUUCAUCAAGUUCACAGCGGCUAAUCCUGAAAGCAAUAGACCAAGGAAAAAUGGACUAAAGUAAAUUGUUUAUUCUGGGUGGGCUUUAGCAGACUUUCGGCGUGUGGAUUAUAUUUUUUUGCUUAUAAACAAUUGCACUCAAAUUUCGUUCAUUUAAAUGAGACCAUCACUAGA